rnacentral:rRNA from 1 species
UACGGGGGGGGCAAGCGUUGUUCGGAAUUACUGGGCGUAAAGCGCGCGUAGGCGGCUUUUCAAGUCGGGCGUGAAAGCCCCGGGCUUAACCCGGGAAUGGCGCUCGAUACUGUUGAGCUAGAGUGUGGAAGGGGCUACUGGAAUUCCGUGUGUAGCGGUGAAAUGCGUAGAUAUCUGGAGGAAUACCGGUGGCGAAGGCGGCAUCCUGGACCGACAUUGACGCUGAACGGCGAAAGCUAGGGGAGCAAACGGG